rnacentral:rRNA from 1 species
UACGUAGGGGGCAAGCGUUGUCCGGAAUGACUGGGCGUAAAGGGAGUGUAGGCGGCCUUUUAAGUUAUAUGUGAAAGCCCCCGGCUUAACCGAGGAACUGCAUAUAAAACUGGAGGGCUGGAGUGCAGGAGAGGUAAGCGGAAUUUCUAGUGUAGCGGUGGAAUGCGUAGAUAUCAGGAGGAACAUCGGUGGCGUAAGCGCUUUACUGGGCCGUAAUUGACGCUGAGGAACGAAAGCCAGGGUAGCAAAUGGG